rnacentral:misc_RNA from 1 species
GAUGAAGAACGUAGUGAAAUGCGAUAAGUAAUGUGAAUUGCAGAAUUCAGUGAAUCAUCGAAUCUUUGAACGCACAUUGCGCCCAUUAGUAUUCUAGUGGGCAUGCCUGUCCGAGCGUCAUUUCAACCCUUAAGCCUAGCUUAGUGUUGGGAAUCUGCUGUAUUGCAGUUCCUCAAAUACAACGGCGGAUCUGUAACAUCCUCUGAGCGUAGUAAAUUUUUAUCUCGCUUUUGUUAGGUGUUGCAGCUCUCAGCCGCUAAACCCCCCAAUUUUUGUGGUUGACCUCGGAUCAGGUAGGAAUACCCGCUGAACUUAAGCAUAUCAAUAAGCGGAGGA